rnacentral:rRNA from 1 species
GAUAAACGCUGGCGGCGUGCAUGAGACAUGCAAGUCGAACGAAGGACCGGGCUUGCUCGGUCCUUAGUGGCGGACGGCUGAGUAACGCGUAGGUGACCUGCCCCGAAGUGGGGAAUAACUGCCCGAAAGGGUGGCUAAUACCGCAUGUGGUCGCACGUUCAUUCGUGCGAGUAAAGCCGCAAGGCGCUUCGGGAGGGCCUGCGUCCGAUUAGCUCGUUGGUGGGGUAAUGGCCUACCAAGGCGACGAUCGGUAGGUGGUCUGAGAGGACGAUCACCCACACUGGCACUGAAACACGGGCCAGACACCUACGGGAGGCAG